UCCAAGUACACAAUAUCCACUGGAUCACCCUUGUCCACAUGGUUGUUGACCCCCUCAAAAGAUCAAUGGGAAGAGAGAAAUACAGUGUCUGUGACAAAAUUUGAAGAGCAAUGACCUGGGCAUUGAUCCAUUCAUUUACAAAGAAUUACAAGGUCACCUUUGUCUACAGUGCUGAUAUAUAUAAUAAUGUAAUGUUUUAUGGCUCUCAUAAGCACAAAGCGUACAAACUCUAUGUCUAAGGUACUCUGAAAUUGCACGGACUUACUGCCAACCACUGUAAAGUCAUGGCUACCACUGAACCCUGCUAGAGCCUGGAGCUGAUGCAUA